rnacentral:ncRNA from 1 species
UGUUCAUUUUCAUGAACCAAAUUAAAAGGGAAUUCGGUGAAAAUCCGAAACUGUACCCGCAGCUGUAUUUCCCAUUUUGUGUUGUUGUUCUGCAAAACCACUGUCCAGAUUAAUAUGGAUGGGAAGGUAUCAACAACCGGGAUAAGUCAGAAGACCUGCCACAAUUCAA